rnacentral:lncRNA from 1 species
CGGGCACACCUGCACUCUGCCUCGCUCAGCCGGCUGCUCAGGGUCGCCAUCUGGAUGCGGGAGUCAUCCUGGGCAGAAGGACUGAGGACGGCCUGGACGCUGACCCUCAGACCCAGGGACGCGCGGAUGGAUGGACAGCAGGUGUUCUUCCCAGAGACCCCCGGGGGGUGCCGCCGUGGGCGGGAGGACCCCAGCCCCCAUUACCCGCUCCCGCUGGGCUUCCCGGAGCUUCUGCACAAAGUCCUGCAGGACGUCCUG